GGGCCCGUAGCUCAGGAGGAUUAGAGCGUCGGCCUGCGGAGCCGGAGGUCGCGGGUUCGAGUCCCGCCGGGCCCGCCA
rnacentral:tRNA from 1 species